rnacentral:lncRNA from 1 species
GCUCGGCCUGGGUGGCAGCGAUGGCCCAGGUCCUCCGGCUCUCGGCCCUGUGUGCAGCUGGCACGCGCGUGUCUCCGCGAGUCUGCGCGUGUCUGUCCGUGCGUGAGAGUGAGAUGAAGCGGAGUCCUACGCCUGGGUGUUUCCUUCCAAGUGAUUUUGAUCAGCAAUCCAUUAGGGGAUCAUGAAAAAAAAAAAAUCUGGCUAAAAGGAUGAAAACUGAGUAAGUACACAGAACUUUGAACUUGAAACGGAAUGAGACCAAACGCAAGCAAAGCCCUGACAGUAACCACAUACAGCCAAACUGCUAUCCCCCUUUUUUAUGUUAAAAGCCGUGAAUGCUAGCAGCAAAGUGGCAAUUUAAAACUGAACGAAAGGAAGCAGCAGUUCUACAACAUAAAAGGCUGGGAGCGGGAUGGCUUUAAAACCGGAGGGAAAAUGAGAAACUGCUAGGACAACCUGGCCGGCGCCCAGCUGUGCAACAGGCACUUCGCGUUAAAUCGACUGCGUCUUCGGCUGGUUUCUGCCUCCAGACCCGCUUUACGGUGCUUUCUUUUUGCCCCAAAAGAGGAGACAAGCUGAACUCCUGACUUUAAGAAUGUUGUGGAAGUAAGGCAUUACCGGAAGGAACUCUUGGUAGCUGGGGAUGCAUUCGGAUGAUUUCUUAUAACUAUCUUUAUUUUGACAUCUUAAAAAAAAAUCUGGCCAGUCACUUCUUACUGUCCUUCAUUUAAGGGCUAUUAACCACCUCUGACCGCUGGGUCCUAUGAAUCUUUGGCAUGAACCUUCGGAAAGUUUUCAAGCGGAGAUGGGGCGAACUUGAUUGGAAUUGUGUAAAAAGAAGACAGAUGUGUGUUUUUUUCACACUGACAACGUGGCCAGGGGCCAAGUGAUCCUGGACUGGUCAUGGUCUGUCGACCCGGGUUCCUUUGUCGCCGGCGAUUUUGCCCCCGACCUUUCCUGGUGGGUUUGGUGGUGGCGAUCUGUCUCUUUUACCAGACCCUGACACUCCGAGGGACUAAGAAGAUUGCAGCGGACGUCUCUGGCACUGUCCCACACACACCCUCUCAAACUCAGGCUAGCAGAUGUGAAGAAGGAUACCGGCAGGACAAACAAUGCUUCCUUCUCUCUGCGAGUACCCAGCACACACCGAAAAGGGAUAACAUUUGAAAUGUAAAUAAAGAAAAUAUCCAAUUAAUAAAAAUAAUAAUGAAAGAAAGAAAGAAAGAGAGAGAGAAAGAAAGAAAGAAAGAAAGAGAGAAAGAAAGAGAGAAAGAAAGAAAAACUAUAACAAAUAAAAUUUAAAACAUUGGUUACAUACAAACAGGAUGCAGCUUUAUAAGAUUCUAAUUAUUAGUUACCAGAUAUAAAAUUCCGUCAUUCAUAUACCAUGAUUGAAGUUAUUUUUAGCAUUGGCUCAUGAUGCAUACCAUGAAGUCUAUUCCAGGUCUAAUACUUCCAAGGUUUGCCUGUUCUUGAAUCCUGACACUUUUCUCUGUGCUUUCUGUGAGCUUCCUGAUUCUUUUCUAACUCCUAAACCACUUGCAUUCUAUGCUACCCAUGAUUAAUUCCACUCCCAAUGCAAGAUACUCCCUGUUAAAUAAAAAUAUAACUUCUUUAGUAUGACUUGAGCAAAGUGGCGGCAGAAAGUCAGCUGAUGGAAUCAAGUCAUACUUAAGUAUACCCUCAGUUUAGGUAGAGUCUUGUAGGAUGUAAUUAUUAAAAACCAUGCACGCUAAGUCCAGCUAUGGCUGGCACUGGCACCAUGAUCUCACCACCCCAUGAGGAGCCAUAAGACACAGUCUUCCCAGGUUCCCGAGGUUAGCUGCUCCCCAACGGCUCAUACCCUCCCAGGCCAUCCUACCCCUGCAGCUAAUCUGCUGAGACUGGCUGCUGCUGGCUCUAAACUCCUAGCCUCAUAUAAUGAAAACUCCUGAGGCUUGUAAUUUACCAGUCAGAUUUGUAACAGUAGAUCCUCAACCCCAAAAUGCCCACACAAAGUACUCAAAACUCAAUUUGAUAUUGAUACAGGCUGCACACGUAGGUUGGACAAAUUGGCCUACAUUAUUGCCCUUCUAUGAUAACCAUAGCUACCUGUGGCUAUUUCAGGCCAUGUGGAUCUGGGUCAUCUUCUUCUUCCGUCUUCUCCCUGUCUGUCUGUCUAUCUCUCUCUCUUUCUCUUCCCUAAAACUUUCAGCUCCAUCUUCCUUCCCACUGCCCAAUCAUAGGCUCUAGCCUUAUCUGACUAAUUAAGAUUUCACCAGACCUAGUUUGCACACGGACAGCAAUCCACAGGGUCUCUUAGCUGUAUUUGUAUUUUUAUAAAAGAAGUUCACAAACUCAGUGAAUGUCCAGUUGGAGGUAUCUCUGGAAAUACAUUUGAAUGUCCAUUCAGUGUCUCCCUGGCUACCCAUCGCCAAAGCUUGCAGGAACCAUCUAUGUCUUCACACAUUUGCUUCUCUACAAGAACUGAGAUUCCCUGAAGGUGGAACCUCAUUUUAGCACUAAACUUCAGUACAAGAUCAUCACCCCUAGUUGUGAUGAGAUGGCUCGUCCUUAGCAUUAACCUGACUGGAGUUCUGUGAGGAUGUUUAUUAAGUAAGGAAGAUCCACUCUGAAUGUGGUGUCACUGUCUCCCAGCUGGGCCUCCAUCCUGAAUGGCAAGAAGAAAGGCAGCUGGACACGAGCAUUUAUCUCUUUCUAUUUCCUUACUGUGGGUGCCAUGGGAGCUGUGACCUUACACACCUGCUGCUACCCCAUAGGCUGUACCCUUAAACGGAAAGCCAAAGUAAACCCGUCCAUCCCAUGUUUAUUGUGUAAAAGGCUUAAUGCUUAUUUUUUAAAAGUCUGUAAUAUUAAGGUGAUCUGCUGAUCCUAUCAUCAGCACCAUAGUGGCCUUUUGUGCAGAAACAGGAAAAUCUAGCCUAAAUGUGUAUAGAAUCUCAAAGAGCCUUAAAUAGCCAAUACAAUCUGGAAAUUGGGAAGAAGAAAAAAAGCCAUACAAAACACAGAGGUCUCAGAUUCCUGAUUUCUGAUAACUAUAAAACCAUAAUUCCUAAAGAGACACAGAUCAUCAGCUCGAUCACAGAACACAUAAACUCCCAUAAAGAUGAUCAGAAGACUUGCAACAAAAGCUCAGACUUUUAUUGUAAAGGAAAAGAACUAUUUCAACAAAAGGUGUUGGGGAAACUGUAUAUCUGCAUUAAAAAACAAAACAACAC